rnacentral:rRNA from 1 species
UACGGGGGGAGCAAGCGUUGUUCGGAUUUACUGGGCGUAAAGGGCGCGUAGGCGGCCACCGCAAGUCGACUGUGAAAUCUCCGGGCUUAACCCGGAAAGGUCAGCCGAUACUGCGGGGCUAGAGUGCAGAAGGGGCAACUGGAAUUCUCGGUGUAGCGGUGGAAUGCGCAGAUAUCAGGAGGAACACCGAUGGCGAAGGCAGUUCUCUGGGCCGUAACUGACGCUGAGGAGCGAAAGCGUGGGGAGCGAACAGG